GUUAAUCAACCGCUGUGUUUUGAGGAGCGACACACAGAAAAGCCAGUUGCACAAUUGAAUCAUGGGCGACCCGAAGCAUUGCUGCCUCUCGGCUGCAGGUUCUGCCCAAGUUUCUUUGGCGAGAAACGCCUAAGGCUUGCCCUCCUCGACACGUAUAUACGGAGCUUCGAACACAACUGGUUGUUGCAAGGGGCUAACGAACUAACGUUGCAAUCAAGACAACAACAACAAUAAAUGAAGAAGUGAUGAUGACAUGGGACAGCUAUACACGCCACGGCCUAUUCUUCGGCACAAAGUGUAUGUGGGGAAAGAAGAGACACCUCACUAAGCACGUGGGUCUCCAGCGGCUGUACUCAGACUCCAAGAAUUAGAAAGACAUCUGACCCGCAUCAUCACGCAACACUUUCACCAUGAGCUCAUCAAGACGGUCGAGAGCCGGAACAGAAGCAACGCUGUGCAGACCGUACUAACAAGUCAAAAGAAACCUCCCCAAGAAAAGUGCGCACAUUCUGGGGAAAGAACGACCGCCUUACUUCAACAAGCCGAGGUACACACAACGAUCCCAAGAAUACAGAAAAAGUGCGACUGAGGCUACUCAGUGCUGCGAGCCAAAGACAAUCAUAUACUAUACUGAUGGCUCCAGCACAGAGGGAAAAUCGGCAAGUGUCUUUGCCACAGAAUACCCCAACGAAGGGGUACCCAUUUUCCUACGGCACUUCAUUGACCGCAGCCGAAUUAGGGCGGUGGUCCCCGGGGUUGCACGUAGAUGGCGCCACUGAACUACGCCACCGAUCUCACCCUGCAGAACUGUUCGAUCAAUCGCCAUGUAGUCACCAAGCCGGUCUACAUCUCCACCGUUCCCUGCUCAGCGGAACGGAGGCAAUUUACACGUUUAAAGGCGUCGCGACAACACAUGAACUACCUGAAAGAGAAUUGUUGCUGUUAUGUGUGAUACAUAACAAUGCAUAAAAGGACAUGUCGUUGAACACGAACUGCUCAAAGUAGCGUAAAAUUAGUGAAGCUAGACUUAUUAAUAUGGUUUUCCGUUUUCGGCGAUUAUAUUUUCCGAGGUAUUCCGAGGUUAUGUCACGACAUUAUUUAUAAACCAAUUCAAACUUGUAUCACUGUAAUUUGAUCUUGCGCCCAUGUUUUUGCCACGUUUCGGGAGAUCUCAAAAAUUAUAAGCGCCGAAAACGAUCAACCGUAUUGGGAACAAUCCAUGUCCUGCAAGGCGUUGGGAGGUGUAGGAGCGACAAUAUAUCCAAAUCGAGGUUCAGCCAUCCUCAAGAGCAUGUUUACAAUUUACAACAGUGAUGUAACUCUAAAAAUAGUCCUACGGCUUAAAAACUGAAAAGUGAGUUCGUUCAUAACAUGUAAAUUUUGUCUCUCCGCCUUUUCCUCCCAUAUA